rnacentral:pre_miRNA from 1 species
UUCUUUGGUGAUCUAACUGUAUGAAGUUUACUGAAUUCAUAAAGCUAGGUCAGCGAAGGA